CUGUAAGACUGUGACCGCUUCCAGCAUAAGGACCACUCAACUAUUUCUACUCUCCUGAACCUGAUGUAUUUUCUGUCGCACAGCCAAAAAUUUGUUGAAAAGGCUGACCAGGGACUGGUACAUCUGAGCUAUAUUCUACAACCCUGAGGACAAGAAUUCUGCCGGACUGUUAAAGGGCCCUACUUCAAACAUAGCUUGAGACGCAGAUUUGUUCAUCAGAUCCCAGUCACUGGAAAAAAAAUCCUUUGAAAAUGUACACAU